CACACACACACACAGCAUAGCACCGCACAUACGCGCGCGAACGUACAUAGGAACAGAAGGGAUUUAUUCCAACACCUCCCACUUCACUGUCACGGGCGCUGAGAUCGGUUACCUGGAUACGAACGAGAGAUGGUGCAUCGAGUAAUGUAAUGUUGCGGGUUUCAGCUCAGUUAUGGAACAGUAACAGACGGAUACAGCGUAUUUCUCUGUCGUCUCGUCCCUACCGGUCAACUUUAUUCUUUUCGUGUAACUGCGUCCAUUCCUAAAAUAAGCGCGGGUCAGAGUGAGCUGCAUCCUUACUGCUUUGAUGCAAUAUUUUAUAUCAUAGUCAUUUUACAACUUUUUUAUCGACCCAUUCAUUAAUCAUCGCUUUUUGGAUACAUGCAGUAACAAGACAAUACAGACCACGCAAGUUUUGAUAAGGGCAAAUGAACAGACGCUGAAUAAAACCAACAUCCCUCCAUUCCUCUUUUCCUCCCCUCUGCCUCCAUGGAAUCCACCUCCACACUCCCGCCGGCGACACCAGAGACAUGGGGUAAUGUCACCACCCUGCCCCCUCACACCAGCUUCUCCGAGUCCCUCAUUUUCAUCCUCAACGACUCCUUCUUCAAUGACUCUUUCCUGAAUGACUCCUUCUUGCCGUUCAACUCCAGCAACUCGACGGGACCCAGGAUGGGGUCGGGGUCCACCGUAGCGGGGGUGCUCAUUCCUCUCAUCUACAUCACCGUCUGCAUCAUUGGCCUGGGCGGGAACACGCUGGUCAUCCACAUCGUGCUGCAUUACUCCAAGACCGAGUCGGUCACCAACAUCUACAUCCUGAACCUGGCCAUUGCCGACGAGCUCUUCAUGCUGGGCCUGCCCUUCCUGGCUGUGCAGACCGCAAUCCACUCCUGGCCUUUCGGCUCCAUCAUGUGCCGCCUGGUGAUGACUGUGGACGGGAUCAACCAGUUCACCAGUAUCUUCUGCCUGACGGUCAUGAGCAUCGACCGCUACCUGGCUGUGGUCCAUCCCAUCCGCUCUUCGAAAUGGCGCCGGCCCCAGGUGGCCAAAGCUGUCAACGGGACAGUGUGGGCAGUCUCCUUCAUGGUGGUGCUGCCCUUGGUCAUCUUCGCCGACGUCUUGAAGGAGGGGGGUAUCUGCAAUAUCAUAUGGCCCGAACCGAAAAGUAUCUGGAAGGCGGCCUUUAUCAUUUACACCUCCACCGUCGGAUUCUUCUGCCCCCUUCUGGUCAUCUGCCUCUGCUACCUGAUGAUCGUGGUCAAGAUCCGCAGCUCGGGCAAGAAGGUCCACGCCACCUCUGCCAAGCGCAGGAAGUCAGAGCGUAAGGUCACCCGGAUGGUGGUCAUCGUGGUGGCUGUGUUCGUCUUCUGCUGGCUCCCCUUCUACGCCCUGAACAUCAUCAACCAGAUGGUGUUACUGCCGGAGGAGCCCCAGGGCCUGUAUUACUUUGUGGUCGUCCUCUCCUAUGCCAACAGCUGCGCCAACCCCUUCGUCUAUGGCUUCCUCUCGGACAACUUCAAGCAGGGCUUCCGGAAGGCCCUGUGCCGCUCCUCCCGUAGGGUGGACAACCAGGAUGCCACCGACCCUCUGCAGGAGCAGGACGAGUGCAGGAGGGUGCUGAAGCCCCGGGACAGCGUGAGGAGGACCAUGAGGGAAGAGGAGGAAGAGGAGGAGGAGGAGGAGGUGACCGAUAUGACCGAGAUCUGCAGGAUCACGCAGAACGCAAAUGGGAACGGGAAGUUGGAGAGGGGAAAGCAGGCCGGGGCCGUAGAGACGGACUCCCCAGGCCAGAGGUCUAAAGCUGGGGAGGGCAGUGGGAAAGGACCAGGCUCUGGGCCUGCGGCUGGCAUGCCCCAGCUGCUUAAUGGGGCCAAAAACGGCAGCGUCAAACCGCUGCCAGAAGAACCUGUGGAGAAGAAUGCCCUACUUGAGAUCAGUUACCUGUAAUAUAAAGAAACUGCAUUUCACCGCCUUGUCUUUUGUCACUUGAAGUGGAAUCACAGUAUUAUAUUUGAAGAAUUAUCCUAAAACACCCAGGCAGCCCUUUUCAACCUAGUCACACUGACUGACUGCUUUGUACAGAGAUUUUAAUCAGACCAAUUCCUUGACUUGCCAACUGAAUCAGCACAGUAUCUUAGUUAAUGUUACGGGUGAAGAAAGGUGGAGGACUGAGAGCUGAGGAGGCGCUCGCGGACACUGGCUCCUCCACAGGAGCUGCGUCCGGAGGCCAGGAGUCACAGGAGAGGAGGCAGGGAAUGGAUACGGACUCCUCUCCUUCGCUUCCAUCUGUCCUGCGUGGUAUUCGGCUGUCUGUUUAUUUUGUUUAUAACCCCGCCCUCGGGACAUGCCCCCCCCCCACCCCCCCCAUCCGUACGGACGCAGGCCGUGUGGCAGUCUAAGGAGCGCGGGACUGGGGGAGUGCGAGAUCUCUCUGCUGCAGCAGUGAAUCACCCGGCGUCCCGCGGUCCUGCGCGCACCAGCUGACGCAGGCAACCACGGAGGCUUCUGGCAGCGUUUCAAUCUGCUACUCACUCUCCGGUCAGGGACUCCCUCGAUAAGCCAACAGGAAACUUCUGAGCCCGUUCAAUAAGGCAGAGCCGUAUACUGGCGGACGUGAAGAAACAAAGACUCCGUUGUUUUCAAGUGCCACUGCGUUUCGCUCAUUUCAUUUUGCCACUUACUAAUUUUUACAUUGACAAUUUAAUGAGAAACCUGGUUCUCUCUCUCUCUCUCGCUGUUACUCUCUUUU